rnacentral:rRNA from 1 species
UACAGGCUAGCGGCGGGAACGGGGUGAGUAACACGGUGGGGUAACCUCGCCCAAGAGAUCGGGGAUAACACCUGGGAACAGAUGCUAAUACCGGGAUAACACAGAUGUGCCUAUCAACUGUUUUAAAAAGAUGGUUCUGCUAUCACUCUUGGGAUGGGACCCUGCGGUGCAUUAGCUAGUUGGUAGGGUAACGGCCUACCAAGGCGAUGAUGCAUAGCCGAGUUGAGAGACUGAUCGGCCACAUUGGGACUGAGACACGGCCCAAACUCCUACGGGAGGCAGCAGUAGGGAAUCUUCCACAAUGGACGCAAGUCUGAUGGAGCAACGCCGCGUGAGUGAAGAAGGGUUUCGGCUCGUAAAGCUCUGUUGUUGGUGAAGAAGGACAGGGGUAGUAACUGACCUUUGUUUGACGGUAAUCAAUUAGAAAGUCACGGCUAACUACGUGCCAGCAGCCGCGGUAAU